AAGUCGUAACAAGGUUUCCGUAGGUGAACCUGCGGAAGGAUCAUUAUUGAAUAAAUCUGACGUUGGUUGUAGCUGGCUCUACCCGAGCAUGUGCACGCCCCGUCACCUUUAUCUUUCCACCUGUGCACACACUGUAGAUCUGGAUACCUCUCGUCGAAAGGCGGAUGCGAGGCUUGCUGUGCCCUUCCCAAAGGGUCGGCUUGCUUCGAAUUUCCAGGUCUAUGAUUCAUACCCCUUUACGUACCCCAAACGAAUGUUAAGGAAUGUAAUCAUAAGGCCCUAGUGCCUAUAAACCUAUACAACUUUCAGCAACGGAUCUCUUGGCUCUC
rnacentral:misc_RNA from 1 species